AAAUUGAAGAGUUUGAUCAUGGCUCAGAUUGAACGCUGGCGGCAGGCCUAACACAUGCAAGUCGAACGGUAACAGGAAGCAGCUUGCUGCUUCGCUGACGAGUGGCGGACGGGUGAGUAAUGUCUGGGAAACUGCCUGAUGGAGGGGGGUAACUACUGGAAACGGUAGCUAAUACCGCAUAAUGUCGCAAGACCAAAGAGGGGGACCUUCGGGCCUCUUGCCAUCGGAUGUGCCCAGAUGGGAUUAGCUUGUUGGUGGGGUAA
rnacentral:rRNA from 1 species